CCGGGGGACGGACUGGGAAC
rnacentral:sRNA from 1 species